GACGAACGCUGGCGGCGUGCCUAAUACAUGCAAGUGGGACGCAAGGGAACACACUGUGCUUGCACACCGUGUUUUCUUGAGUCGCGAACGGGUGAGUAACGCGUAGGUAACCUGCCUAUUAGCGGGGGAUAACUAUUGGAAACGAUAGCUAAUACCGCAUAAUAUUAAUUAUUGCAUGAUAAUUGAUUGAAAGAUGCAAGCGCAUCACUAGUAGAUGGACCUGCGUUGUAUUAGCUAGUUGGUAAGGUAAGAGCUUACCAAGGCGACGAUACAUAGCCGACCUGAGAGGGUGAUCGGCCACACUGGGACUGAGACACGGCCCAGACUCCUACGGGAGGCAGCAGUAGGGAAUCUUCGGCAAUGGACGAAAGUCUGACCGAGCAGCGCCGCGUGAGUGAAGAAGGUUUUCGGAUCGUAAAGCUCUGUUGUAAGUCAAGAACGUGUGUGAGAGUGGAAAGUUCACUCAGUGACGGAGCUACCAGAAAGGAC
rnacentral:rRNA from 1 species